rnacentral:rRNA from 1 species
AGUAACAUAUCGGAACGUACCCAGAGAGGGGGGAUAACGCAGCGAAAGCUGGGCUAAUACCGCAUACGCUCUGAGGAGGAAAGUGGGGGAUUCGCAAGGACCUCACGCCGGUGGAGCGGCCGAUAUCUGAUUAGCUAGUUGGUGGGGUAAAGGCCUACCAAGGCGACGAUCAGUAGCUGGUCUGAGAGGACGACCAGCCACACUGGAACUGAGACACGGUCCAG